rnacentral:rRNA from 1 species
UGAACGCUGGCGGCGUGCCUAAUACAUGCAAGUCGAACGCACAGCGAAAGGUGCUUGCACCUUCAAGUGAGUGGCGAACGGGUGAGUAACACGUGGACAACCUGCCUCAAGGCUGGGGAUAACAUUUGGAAACAGAUGCUAAUACCGAAUAAAACUUAGUGUCGCAUGACACAAAGUUAAAAGGCGCUUCGGCGUCACCUAGAGAUGGAUCCGCGGUGCAUUAGUUAGUUGGUGGGGUAAAGGCCUACCAAGACAAUGAUGCAUAGCCGAGUUGAGAGACUGAUCGGCCACAUUGGGACUGAGACACGGCCCAAACUCCUACGGGAGGCUGCAGUAGGGAAUCUUCCACAAUGGGCGAAAGCCUGAUGGAGCAACGCCGCGUGUGUGAUGAAGGCUUUCGGGUCGUAAAGCACUGUUGUAUGGGAAGAACAGCUAGAAUAGGAAAUGAUUUUAGUUUGACGGUACCAUACCAGAAAGGGACGGCUAAAUACGUG